rnacentral:lncRNA from 1 species
AAAAUACAUGCAUCAAAACCUUUAAAUCAUGCUUUAACAAUUUCAAGCCCAUGUAGUUUUUAGGAUAAACCCCACGUACCUCGAUUAUGAAGAACAAGGGAUGAUCCUUUAAGCCUACGAAAUUAUGCUUUAACAAUUUCAAGCUCAGGUAGUUUUUUUUUUUAGGAUAAACCUCACGUACCUCGAUUACGAAGAAUAAGGGAUGAUCCUUGAAGCCUACGGUUUGAGGAUUCCAAAUCUUCAGUCAAUUUUGAAAACCCACAGUUGAAUCUUGAGUUUCUUGGAGGAGAAGUAUAUGAAGUAAGGUUUUGUUUUGAGGAAAAUCUAGAGAAUGUCAUAUAUUCUACUUGUAGAGGUCUUAAUCUACUGUUUGGAAGUUUAAAGAGGCUUGGAAAAAGUCCAAAUUACCCUUAUUAACUUCUGAACGAAGAUGGAAAAAAUUAAACUGGGAACCCAAUUUUGUGGACCACCGCAACGUGCCACUAUCGUGGUGGCUCUUUGGAAAUUGACGAGUGGGAAAUUGGGAUCCUUCUUGACGCGCCACUAUCGCGGUGUCCCACUAAAAUUUGAUAAUUGCUAAUUAAACCGUCUCCAUGGAGUGCUAAACACUAGAAUGACGAUGUUUUACGACUAGCACAUAAAAUAGCGCAAUAAAUUCUUCACUGAGUGUCCGUUUUGGACGAAUCUUAUAUCGACGGAAAGCUUAUUCAGUCAUCUACGUAAUAAAAAGUUUAAAUAUAAGGGAUUCCAUAGGGAAAUAAGUAUAAAUCAUUCCAGAAGACAAUUCUUGGUAUUCUAGGGACAAAAUUUAGCUAAGAAAAACUUCGGGGCAUUACAAUAUCCCCUUUGGGAACAUUCGUCCCCAAAUGUUGACGCGGGAUACAGACAAGUCUAAUUUCAAGCAUACUAAGGCAUAGAAAGAAUAAGGCAAGGAUUGUACCUUCCAUUUCGUCAUCCAUUGGAUCAAAAUGGUUGGGGUAUCUACCUCUCAUGUCAAUUUCUAAUUCCUAAGUCGCUUCUUCAAUUUUUUGGUUUCUCCACAACACUUAACUGUGGCUAUCUCUUUGUUCCUCAAUCUUCUAACGUGGUGAUCCAAAAUCUCUACAUGCUUUUCUUCAUUGGAUAAGGAGUCUGUCACUAUGAUUUCUUUGACAAACAAUACUAAAGAAUGGUCACCAACACACUUCUUUAACAUAGAUAUAUGAAAUACCGGAUGAACAGAACCCAAACUUGCAGGAAACUCUAACUCAUACGCAACUCCACCUAUCCUUCUCGCAAUAUAGUAUGGUCCUAUAUAGCGAGGACUCAGCUUAACUUUCUUCCAAAAUCGCAUGACUCCUUUCAUGGGAGAAACCUUGAGAAACACCCAAUCUCCAACCUCAAACUCUAGAUCUCUUCUCCUAACAUCGGCGUAGGACUUCUGAUGACUCUGAGCUAUCUUAAGUCAUUCUCUAAUGACUUUCACAUCCUCUAUUGCCUGAUGAACAAGAUCAGGCCCGAAUAUCUGCGUCUCACCUACUUUAUACCACCCUAUUGGUGACCUACAUCUUCUCUCAUACAAUGCCUCAAAUGGUGUGCCAUCUUGAUAUUGGAAUGGAAACUAUUAUUAUAUGCGAACUCUAUCAAUGGCAAGUGCUCUACCCAACUACCUUUAAAAUCAAUCACGUAGGCUCUCAACUUAUCCUCAAGGGUCUGGAUGGUGCGCUCAACUUGCCCAUCUGUCUGAGGGUGGAAAGUCGCGCUCAAAUUUACUUGGGUACCUAAACCCUUUUGAAGAAAACUGUGUACCUUUGUCAGAUAUGAUGGACACAGGUGCCCCAUGCAAACGAACUAUUUCUACAAGGAACAGCUUGGCAUAAUCCUCUCCUGAAUAAUUUGUCCUGAUAGAUAGAAAGUGAGUUGACUUGGUCAACCUAUCUACAAUCACCCAAAUAGAAUCAUACUGGUUUCGGGACCUCGUAAGUCCUGUAAUGAAGUCCAUAUUAAUCAUCUCCCACUUCCACAAAGGCAAAGCUAUCUCUUGAGAAGAAACACCAGGCCUCAAAUGUUCUACUUUAACUUGUUGACAAUUCAAACACUUGGCAACAUAGUUAGCCACAUCACGCUUCAUAUUAUUCCACCAAUAAAUGGUUUUCAAAUCCUGAUACAUCUUAGUAGAGCCAGGGUGAACAACAUACCUCGACAUGUGGGCUUCGUCAAGGAUUCUCUUCCUCGGACCAUCUACAUCUGGCACACACAACCUACC